rnacentral:misc_RNA from 1 species
AACUUUCGGCAAUGUAUCUCUUGGCUCUCGCAUCGAUGUAGAACGCAUCGAAAUGCGAUAAGUAAUGUGAAUUGCAGAUUUCAGUGAAUCAUCGAAUCUUUGAACGCACCUUGCGCUCCUUGGUAUUCCGAGGAGCAUGCCUGUUUGAGUGUCAUUAAAUUAUCAUCCUCACCAGUUUUGUCACCGAAACUGUGUGAAGGCUUGGAUGUGGAGGUUUAUGCUGUCUGCCUCAGUGCGGUCUGCUCCUCUGAAAUGCAUUAGCGAGUUUCACUAAGCUCCGUCUAUUGGUGUGAUAAUUAUCUACGCCGUGGAAGGGGUUUAGACUUGCUUCUAACCGUCCGCAAGGACAAUACUUUGACAAUUUGACCUCAAAUCAGGUAGGACUACCCGCUGAACUUAAGCAUAUCAAUAAGCGGAGGAU